UUUUCGCUAGUAUAGAGUUGUAUUCUUAACUUCCAAUUAAGAGGCCUAGCAAUAAGUUAGGCGAA
rnacentral:tRNA from 1 species